rnacentral:rRNA from 1 species
UACAGAGGUCUCAAGCGUUGUUCGGAUUCAUUGGGCGUAAAGGGUGCGUAGGUGGCGCGGUAAGUCGGGUGUGAAAUUUCGGAGCUUAACUCCGAAACUGCAUUCGAUACUGCCGUGCUUGAGGACUGGAGAGGAGACUGGAAUUUACGGUGUAGCAGUGAAAUGCGUAGAUAUGCGGAGGAAUACCGGUGGCGAAGGCGGCCUUCUGGACGGUGACUGACGCUGAGACGCGAAAGCGUGGGGAGCAAACAGG